rnacentral:lncRNA from 1 species
UUUGAUGUGUGGUCUAGGUCAAAUGUUAGGGAAUGAAUGUUUUAUUGUGCUUUAUAUUGUAUGCUUGUAUUAUAGCUAAAGCGUAAGCUAUAGAAGUUAUGUCAUAAGUAGAGAUAUGCGAUAUCUAGUUAAUCCUUUCCCACGAAGUGCUCAUAUCCUUACCGUUAAGACGUUAUCCUUGUUUUGAUUGCCGUUUCCUUAAGAUUCUCUUCGUAUAAGGAUCUUUGUUAAUUUAUGUGCAUCUGUUGCUUAGCUUAUAUAUCUCUGCAACUGCGUUUCAACAUCAGCUUUUGGUUC